rnacentral:rRNA from 1 species
GAUGAACGCUGGCGGCGUGCCUAAUACAUGCAAGUCGAGCGAACAGACGAGGAGCUUGCUCCUCUGACGUUAGCGGCGGACGGGUGAGUAACACGUGGAUAACCUACCUAUAAGACUGGGAUAACUUCGGGAAACCGGAGCUAAUACCGGAUAAUAUAUUGAACCGCAUGGUUCAAUAGUGAAAGACGGUUUUGCUUUCACUUAUAGAUGGAUCCGCGCCGCAUUAGCUAGUUGGUAAGGUAACGGCUUACCAAGGCAACGAUGCGUAGCCGACCUGAGAGGGUGAUCGGCCACACUGGAACGGAGACACGGUCCAGACUCCUACGGGAGGCAGCAGAAGGGAAUCUUCCGCAAUGGGCGAAAGCCUGACGGAGCAACGCCGCGUGAGUGAUGAAGGUCUUCGGAUCGUAAAACUCUGUUAUUAGGGAAGAACAAAUGUGUAAGUAACUAUGCACGUCUUGACGGUACCUAAUCAGAAAGCCACGGCUAACUACGUG